AUGAAGGUCGCCACCGGUGUGGGAAUAGAGUUUAGGCAGAUUUAUCCGCCCGAACACUGCCCCCACCACCCCAACGAUGCACCACGGCAGACAAACCCUAACCCUACCUACUAGGUCUGACGGAGGAACGAGAUCCCCCUACCAAUAAAUCGUACAAGAAUAACGAGAAAGAAACCAACGCAAAAAUAAUCCCCAGAAAAAUGUGUAUUCCACGCGGGAUUUCCAUAUCAACACUUUGAGAAAUACCAGUCUGAUCAUAAUGCUCUAUGUACAAUUAUUUUUCUAAAAGAAUCUCGAGCAUGACCCUGUCGCAUGUUCAUAAUAUUAUGUAAUGAACAUCAUGGGCAAAAAUAGUAUGCACUUGAUCAUGCAAUCCGGCCUAAUCAAUAAAUGUAACCGUUGGCUUACCACAUCAAGCUUUUGUGAAUGCUGGAGAGGGAGAUGCGGUCAGGUGUAAACUACAUUGAGAAUGACAAUGAGCAGAGCAUCACGCCUUCUGCAAUCGGCGAAAUGAUUGGUUCAAAUUCUCAAUGUAAAUUACACCCACCACAUCUCCCUCCUCGGUAUUCACAAUUGGACAAUUGAAGGACUGCAAGUGUCAAGCUUUAGACACACCCAAAACUAGAUUUCACUAGUGUUGUUGGCUUAAUAUAGGUCACUUGGAGGUAUGAGGAUAGGAACUCCCCUUAUAUAUAGAAAUAAAAUGGUUGUAACCCGAAACUUUGAGUUCAUCCUUAUCCAAUUAUUCACAUUAAGUACGAUCCAAGUUUACAUUGGUUCCUAUUUGAUUCGAUUAAAAAGCUCUAGGCAUCAAUGAGCGCUAAGAUAUGAGCAGGAACCGCGCAAAACAAGGGGCUACGGCCCCACAAGGGACCCAUGUGCUGGGAUGUGCCACCAUGCCUCAUGGGCCCCACAUUGCACCCUAGGCCUUGCCAUGUGUUUACAUCCUUCUCCUUUGAAACACCCGCAACACCCAUAUGAUGGUGGGUCCGGGUCAUCCACUCGGCACAAGUCAUUUUGUCUGGCAUUUUACCUAUGUGAUCCUAUCCUCGUGAAGCAUGGCUACAAUAUUAUUGUAAGUGAUUGUGCCGUUUCAUUCCAAAGGACACAUUUGAUAUUCUUAACAAAUAUGGCAUGACAUGUGCAAACAUUGAAUACUUGAAACGUAGAUUAACAUUGGUUAAGAUUUCUCCAAUGGCUUAUUUUUCGAUGAUCCAUGAUAGAUGUAAAUGAUAUAGAACAAUUCAUUUGUUGACCAUGGUAUAGUAUCAGAUCUUCUACCUUUUUCAAUUUUAAGAAAAAUCAAGGAAAAGUAAGGCUAGAUAUUAGUUUUGUUUGUGAGAAGAAACCCAAAUUAUAUUAGAAAUAAGUACUGGUACAACGCCACCAGAAAAAAUUAGGAAAUUACAAAUAGCACCAUGGGGAACCAAUUUAGCCAUACCACCAACAUAGGAUGAGGGCGCACCGCCGCUCCUUGCCGGUGAAACCCUUGGUUGUGCGCAUUGAUUAAAGAUGUCGGGAACACAUCCUCGGUGUAGGGGGACCAGCAUGCCAGAAAUAGGUCAGAUUGGAACUGCGUCACCACUUGUGUCAGCUUGUUGUAGGACGACGAUGAAAACGCCGCCACCAACGAGAACCUACAAAUCCGGAGUCACCACGCUCCUACAAAAGCUCCAUGCCCCCAUGUCGACACAAGAGCGUGUCAUCACAACGGCGGGGCCAGGGCAUAAAAUCCACCUCGAGUUCGGUAUCAUCGCCGCACCAGUCUCGAUUAGUUAGCCUGCUACCAGAUAUACCAACGACCGCCUCACAACAACCGACCGGAAUCUAAUUUGAAGCAAAUUUAUUCCAUGCCACCACCACCAUAAUCAUCAAGACAACAACGAUGGAAGGACGACAAGCACAUAUUGCCAUCAACUCCAAGGAGCCGCCAUGAAGGUUGCCACCAGUGUGGGAAUAGAGUUUAGGCAGAUUUAUCCGCCCGAACGACGCCCCCACCACCCCAAUGAUGCACCUUUGGAGACAAACCCUAACCCUACCUACUAGGCCUGACGGAGGAACGAGAUCCCCCUACCAAUAAAUUGUACAAGAAUAACGAGAAAGAAACCAAUGCAAAAACAAUCCCCACAAAAAUGUAUAUUCCACGCGGGAUUUCUGUAUAAACACUUUGAGAAAUACCAGUCUGAACAUAAUGCUCCAUGUACAAUUAUUUUUCUAAAAGAAUAUCGAGCAUGACCCUGCCACAUGUUCUUAAUAUUAUGUAAUGAACAUCAUGGGAAAAAAAUAGUAUGCACUUGCUCAUGCAAUCCUAAUCAAUAAAUGUACUCGUUGGCUUACCACAUCUCGCUUUUGCGAACGCUGGAGAGGGAGACGCGGUCAGGUGUAGGUUACAUCGAGAAUGACAAUGAGCGGAACAUCACGCCUUCUCCAAUCGGCCAAAUGAUUGGUUCAAAUUCUCAAUGUAACUUACACCCACCACAUCUCCCUCCUCGGUAUUCUCAAAUGGACAAUUGAAGGACUCAGUAUAGCAAGUGUCAAGCUUUAGACACACCAAAAACUAGAUUUUACUAGUGUUGUUGGCUGAAUAUAGGUCACUUGGAAGUAUGAGGAGAUGAACUCCCCUUAUAUAUAGAAAGAAAAUGGUUGUAACCCGAAACUUUGAGUUCAUCCUUAUCUAAUUAUUCACAUUAAGUACGAUUCAAGUUAUAUUAGUUCCAAUUUGAUUCGAUUAAAAAGCUCCAGGCAUCUAUGAGCGCUAAGAUAUGAGCAGGAACCACCUAAAACAAGGGGCUAUAGCCCCACAAGCGACCCAUGUGCAGGGAUGUGCCACCAUGCCUCAUGGGCCCCACAUUGCACCCUAGGCCUUGCCACGUGUUUACAUCCUUCUCCUUUGAAACAACCGCAAAACCCAUAUGACGGUGGGUCCGGGUCAUCCACCCAACGCAAGUCAUUUUGUCUGGCAUUUGGCCUUUGUCAUCCUAUCCUUGUCAAGCAUUGGUACAAUAUUAUUGUAAGUGAUUUGGGCGUUUCAUUCCAAAGGACACAUUUGAUAUUCUUAACAAAUAUGGCAUGACAUGUGCAAACAUUGAAUACUAGAAACGUACAUUAACAUUGGUUAAGGUUUCUCCAAUGGCUUAUUUUCCGAUGAUCCAUGAUAUGUGUAAAUUGUAUAGAACAAUUCAUUUGUUGACCAUGGUAUAGUAUUAGAUCUUUUACCUUUUUCAAUUUUAAGAAAAAUCAAGGAAAAGUAAGGCUAGCUAUUAGUUUUUUUGUGAGAAGAAACCGAAAUAAUAUUAAAAAUAAGUACUGGUACACUGCCACCCCAAAAAAUUAAGAAAUUACAAAUAGCACCAUGGGGAACCAAUCUAGCCAUAUCACCAACGAAGGAUGAGGGCGCACUGCCGCUCCUUACCGGCGAAACCCUUGGUUGUGCGCAUAGAUUAAAGAUGUUGGGAACUCAUCCUCGGUCCAGGAGGACCAGCACGCUGGAAAUAGGUCAGAUUGGAACUGCGUCACCACUUGUGUCGGCUUGUUGAGCGGCGACGAUGGAAGCGCCGCCACCAAUGAGACCCUACAAAUCCGGAGUCACCACGCUCCUAAAAAAGCUCCAUGCCCCAUGUCGACACAAGAGCAUGUGUCAUCACAACGGCGAGGCCAGGGCAUAAAAUCCACCUCGAGUUCGGUAUCGUUGCCGCACUAGUCUCGAUUGGCUAGCCUGCUACCAGAUCUACCAACGACCGCCUCACAACAACCCACCGGAAUCGAAUCCGAAGCAAAUUUAUUCCAGGCCACCACCACCAUAAUCAUCAAGACAACAACAAUGGAAGGAUGACAAGCACAUAUUGCCAUCAACUCCGAGGAGCCGCCAUGAAGGUCGCCACCGGUGUGGGAAUAGAGUUUAGGCAGAUUUAUCCGCCCGAACACCGCCCCCACCACCCCAAUGAUGCACCAUUGGAGACAAACCCUAACCCUACCUACUAGGCCUGACGUAGGAACGAGAUCCCCCUACCAAUAAAUUGUACAAGAAUAACGAGAAAGAAACCAAUGCAAAAACAAUCCCCACAAAAAUGUAUAAUCCAUGCGGGAUUUCCGUAUCAACACUUUGAGAAAUACCAGACUGAUCAAAAUGCUCUAUGUACAAUUAUUUUUCUAAAAGAAUCUCGAGCAUGACCCUGCCACAUGUUCUAAAUAUUAUGUAAUGAACAUCAUGGGCAGAAAUAGUAUGCACUUGAUCAUGCAAUCCGGCCUAAUCAAUAAAUGUACCUGUUGGCUUACCACAUCAACCUUUUGCGAAUGCUGGAGAGGGAGACGCGGUCAGGUGUAAGUUACAUUGAGAACGACAAUGAGCAGAGCAUCAUGCCCUCUCCAAUCGGGGAAAUGAUUGGUUCAAAUUAUCAGUGUAACUUACACCCACCACAUCUCCCUCCUUGGUAUUCUCAAAUGGACAAUUGAAGGACUGCAAGUGUCGACACACCAAAAACUAGAUUUUACUAGUGUUGUUAGCUGAAUAUAGGUCACUUGGAGGUAUGAGGAGAGGAACUCCCCUUAUAUAUAGAAAGAAAAUGGUUGUAACCCGAAACUUUGAGUUCAACCUUAUCCAAUUAUUCACAUUAAGUAUGAUCCAAGUUUACAUUGGUUCCUAUUUGAUACGAUUAAAAAGUUCCAGGCAUCAAUGAGCGCUAAGAUAUGAGCAGGAACCUCGCAAAACAAGGGGCUAUGGCCCCACAAGGGACCCAUGUGCUGGAAAGUGACACCAUGCCUCAUGGGCCCCACAUUGCACCCUAGGCCUUGCCACGUGUUUACAUCCUUCUCCUUUGAAACAACCGCAACACCCAUAUGAUUGUGGGUCCUGGUCAUCCACUCGGCGCAAGUCAUUUUGUCUGGCAUUUUGCCUAUGUGAUCCUAUCCUCGUGAAGCAUUGCUACAAUAUUAUUGUAAGUGAUUUGGCCGUUUCAUUCCAAAGGACAAAUUUGAUAUUCUUAACAAAUAUGGCAUGACAUGUGCAAACAUUGAAUACUUGAAACGUACAUUAACAUUUGUUAAGGUUUCUCCAAUGGCUUAUUUUCCGAUGAUCCAUGAUAGAUGUAAAUGAUAUAGAACAAUUCAUUUUUAGACCAUGGUAUAGUAUCAGAUCUUCUACCUAUUUCAAUUUUUAGAAAAAUCAAGGAAAAGUAAGGCUAUCUAUUAGUUUUAUUUGUGAGAAGAAACCCAAAUUAUAUUAAAAAUAAGUACUGGUACAACGCCACCCCAAAAAAUUAAGAAAUUACAAAUAGCACCAUGGGGAACCAAUUUAGCCAUACCACCAACGUAGGAUGAGGGCGCACCGCCGCUCCUUGCUGGUGAAACCCUUGGUUGUGCGCAUUGAUUAAAGAUGUUGGGAAAUCAUCCUCGGUCUAGGGGGACCAGCAUGCCGGAAAUAGGUCAGAUUGGAACUGCGUCACCACUUGCGUCGGCUUGUUGAAGGGCAACGAUGAAAACGCCGCCACCAACGAGAACCUACAAAUCCGGAGUCACCACGCUCUUACAAAAGCUCCAUGCCCCCAUGUCGACACAAGAGCAUGUGUCAUGACAACGGAAGGACCAGUCUCGAUUAGUUAGCUUGCUACCAGAUAUACCAACAACCGCCUCACAACAACCCACUAGAAUCGAAUCUGAAGCAAAUUUAUUCCAUCCCACCACCACCAUAAUCAUCAAGACAACAACGAUGGAAGGACGACAAGCACAUAUUGCCAUCAACUCCGAGGAGCCGCCAUGAAGGUUGCCACCAGUGUGGGAAUAGAGUUUAGGCAGAUUUAUCUGCCCGAACGCCGCCCCCACCACCACAAUGAUGCACCAUGGCAGACAAACCCUAACCCUACCUACUAGGCCUAACAGACGAACGAGAUCCCCCUACCAAUAAAUCGUACAAGAAUAACGAGAAAGAAACCAACACAAAAACAAUCCCCACAAAAAUGUAUAUUCCACACGGAAUUUCCGUAUCAACACUUUGAGAAAUACCAGUCUAAACAUAAUGCUCUAUGUACAAUUUUUUUUUCUAAAAGAAUCUCGAGCAUGACCCUGCACAUGUUCUUAAUAUUAUAUAAUGAACAUCAUGGGCAAAAAUAGUAUGCACUUGCUCAUGCAACCCUAAUCAAUAAACGUACCCAUUGGCUUACCAUAUCAAGCUUUUGCGAAUGCUGGAGAGGAAAACGCUGUCAGGUGUAAGUUACAUUGAGAACGACAAUCAGUAGCACAUCAUGCCUUCUCCAAUCGGCAAAAUGAUCGGUUCAAAUUCUCAAUGUAAAUUACACCCACCACAUCUCCCUCCUCCGUAUUCUCAAAUGGAGAAUUGAAGGACUCGGUACUGCAAGUGUCAAGCUUUAAACACACCAAAAACUAGAUUUCACUAGUGUUGUUGGCUUAAUAUAGGACACUUGGAGGUAUAAGGAUAGGAACUCCCCUUAUAUAUAGAAAGAAAAUGGUUGUAACCCGAAACUUUGAGUUCAUCCUUAUCCAAUUAUUCACAUCAAAUACGAUCCAAGUUUACAUUGGUUCCUAUUUGAUUUGAUUAAAAAGCUCCAGGCAUCAACAAGUGCUAAGACAUGAGCAGGAACCGUGCAAAACAAGGGGCUAUGGCCCCACAAGGGACCCAUGUGCUGGGAUGUGCCACCAUGCCUCAGGGGCCCCACAUUGCACCCUAGGCCUUGCCACGUCUUUACAUCCUUCUCCUUUGAAACAAAUGCAACAGCCAUAUGAUGGUGGGUCCGGGUCAUCCACCCGGCGCAAGUCAUUUUGUCUGGCAUUUGGCCUAUAUGAUCCUAUCCUCGUCAAGCAUUGUUACAAUAUUAUUGGAAGUGAUUUGGUUGUUUCAUUCCAAAGGACACAUUUGAUAGUCUUAACAAAUAUGGCAUGACAUGUGCAAACAUUGAAUACUAGAAACGUACAUUAACAUUGGUUAAGGUUUCUCCAAUGGCUUAUUUUCCGAUGAUCCAUGAUAUGUGUAAAUUGUAUAGAACAAUUCAUUUGUUGACCAUGGUAUAGUAUCAGAUCUUUUACCUUUUUCAAUUUUAAAAAAAAAUCGAGGAAAAGUAAGGCUAGCUAUUUUUUUUGUGAGAAGAAACCGAAAUAAUAUUAAAAAUAAGUACUGGUACACUGCCACCCCAAAAAAUUAAGAAAUUACAAAUAGCACCAUGGGGAACCAAUCUAGCCAUACCACCAACGAAGGAUGAGGGCGAACCGCCGCUCCUUGCCGGUGAAACCCUUGGUUGUGCGCAUAGAUUAAAGAUGUUGAGAACUCAUCCUCGUUCGAGGAGGACCAGCAUGCCGGAAAUAGGUUAGAAUGGAACUGCGUCACCACUUGUGUCGGCUUGUUGAACGACGACGACGAAAGCGCCGCCACCAACGAGAACCUACAAAUCCGGAGUCACCAUGCUCCUACAAAAGCUCCAUGCCCCCAUGUCGACACAAGAGCGUGUGUCAUCACAACGGCGCAACCAGGGCAUAAAAUCCACCUCGAGUUCGGUAUCGUCGCCGCACCAGUCUCGAUUGGUUAGCCUGCUACCAGAUCUACCAACGACCGCCUCACAACAACCCACCGGAAUCUAAUCAGAAGCAAAUUUAUUACACGCCACCACCACCAUAAUCAUCAAGACAACAACGAUGGAAGGACGACAAGCACAUAUUGCCAUCAACAAUGAGGUGCAGCCAUGAAGGUCGCCAUCGGUGUGGGAAUAGAGUUUAGGCAGAUUUAUCCACCUGAAUGCCGCCCCCACCACCCCAACGAUGCACCAAAUGCUAACCGUUCCUACUAGGCCUGAUGGAGGAACGACAUCCCCCUACCAAUAAAUCGUACAAGAAUAACGAGAAAGAAACCAACGCAAAAACAAUCCCCACAAAAAUGUAUAUUCCACACGAGAUUUCCGUAUCAACACUUUGAGAAAUACCAGUCUGAUCAUAAUGCUCUAUGUACAAUUAUUUUUCUAAAAGAAUCUCGAGCAUUACCCUGCCACAUGUUCUUAAUAUUAUGUAAUGCACAUCAUGGGCAAAAAUAUUAUGCACUUGAUCAUGCAAUCCUAAUCAAUAAAUGUACCUGUUGGCUUACCACAUCAAGCUUUUGCGAAUGCUGGAGAGGGAGACGCGGUCAGGUGUAAGUUACAUCGAGAACGACAAUGAUCAGAACAUCACGCCUUCUCCUAUCGGCGAAAUGAUUGGUUCAAAUUCUCAUUGUAACUUACAACCACCACAUCUCCCUCCUCGGUAUUCUCAAAUGGACAAUCGAAUGACUCGGUACUGCAAGUGUCGUGUUUUAGACACAUCGAAAACUAGAUUUUACUAGUGUUCUUGGCUGAAUAUAGGUCACUUGGAGGUAUGAGGAGAGGAACUCCCCUUAUAUAUAGAAAGAAAAUGGUUGUUACCCGACACUUUGAGUUCAUCAUUAUCCAAUUAUUCACAUUAAGUACGAUCCAAGUUUACACUGGUUCCUUUUGAUUCGAUUAAAAAGCUCCAGGCAUCAAUGAGCGCUAAGAUAUGAGCAGGAACCGCGCAAAACAAGGGGCUAUGGCCCAACAAGCGACCCAUGUGCUGGGAUUUGCCACCAUGCCUCAUGGGCCCCACAUUGCACCUAGGCCUUGCCACGUUUUUACAUCCUUCUCCUUUGAAACAACCGCAACACCCAUAUGAUGGUGGGUCCGGGUCAUCCACCCGGUGCAAGUCAUUUUGUCUGGCAUUUUGCCUAUGUGAUCCUAUCCUCGUCAAGCAUUGCUACAUUAUUGUUGUAAGUGAUUUGGUCGUUUCAUUCCAAAGGACACAUUUGAUAUUCUUAACAAAUAUGGCAUGACAUGUGCAAACAUUGAAUACUAGAAACGUACAUUAACAUUGGUUAAGGUUCCUCCAAUGGCUUAUUUUCGAAUGAUCCAUGAUAGAUGUAAAUGACAUAGAACAGUUCAUUUGUUGACCAUGGUAUAGUAUCAGAUCUUCUACCUUUUUGAAUUUUAAGAAACAUCAAGGAAAAUUAAUGCUAGCUAAUAGUUUUUUGUGUGCGAAGAAACCCAAAUUAUAUUUAAAAUAAGUGCUGGUACAACGCCAUCCCAAAAAAAUAAGAAAUUACAAAUAGCACCAUGGGGAACCAAUCUAGUCAUACCACCAACGUAGGAUGAGGGCGCACCGCCGCUCCUAGCCGGUGAAACCCUUGGUUGUGCGCAUAGAUUAAAGAUGUUGGGAACUCAUCCUCGGUCUAGGAGGACCAGCAUGUCGGAAAUAGGUCAGAUUGGAACUGUGUCACCACUUGCGUCGGCUUGUUGAACGGCGACGAUGGAAGCGCCGCCACCAAUGAGAACCUACAAAUCCAAAGUCACCACGCUCCUACAAAAGCUCCAUUCCCCCAUGUCGACACAAGAGCAUGUGUCAUCACAAUGGCGGGGUCAGGGCAUAAAAUCCACCUCGAGUUCGGUAUCAUCGCCGCACCAGAAUCGAUUGGUUAGCCUGCUACCAGAUCUACCAACGACUGCCUCACAACAACCCACCGAAAUCGAAUCCGAAGAAAAUUUAUUCCACGCCACCACCGCCAUAAUCAUCAAGACAACAACAAUGGAAGGACGACAAGCACAUAUUUCCAUAACCUCUGAGGAGCCGCCAUGAAGGUUGCCACCGGUGUGGCAAUAGAGUUUAGGCAGACUUAUCCGCCCGAACGCCGCCCCCACCACCCCAGCGACGCACCACGACAGACAAACCCUAACCCUACCUACUAGGCCUGACAAAGGAACGAGAUCCCCCUACCAAUAAAUCAUACAAGAAUAACGAGAAAGAAACCAACGCAAAAACAAUCCCUGCAAAAAUGUAUAUUCCACGCAGGAUUUCCGUACAACACUUUGAGAAAUGCCAGUCUGAUCAAAAUGCUCUAUGUACAAUUAUUUUUCUGAAAGAAUGUCGAGCAUGACCCUGCCACAUGUUCUUAAUAUUAUUUAAUGAACAUCAUGGUUAAAAAUAGUAUGCACUUGAUCAUGCAAUCCUAAUCAAUAAAUGUACCCGUUGGCUUACCACAUCAAGCUUUUGUGAAUGCUGAAGAGGGAGACACGGUCAGGUUUAAGUUACAUUGAGAACGACAAUGAGCAAAGCACCAUGCCUUCUCCAAUCGGUGAAAUGAUUGGUUCAAAUUCUCAAUGUAACUUACACCCACCACAUCUCCCUCCUCGGUGUUCUCUAAUGGACAAUUGAAGGACUCGGUACUGCAAGUGUCAAGCUUUAGACACACAAAAAACUAGAUUUUACUAGUGUUGUGGGCUGAAUAUAGGUCACUUGGAGGUAUGAGGAGAGGAACUCCCCUUAUAUAUAGAAAGAAAAUGGUUGUAACCCGAAACUUUGAGUUCAUCCUUAUCCAAUUAUUCACAUUAAGUACGAUCCAAGUUUAAAUUGGUUCCUAUUUGAUCCGAUUAAAAAGCUCCAGGUAUCUAUGAGCGCUAUGAUAUGAGCAGGAACCGCGCAAAAAAAGGGGCUAUGGCCCCACAAGGGACCCAUGUGCUGGGAUGUGCCACCAUGCCUCAGGGGCCCCACAUAGCACCCUAGGCCUUGCCACAUGUUUACAUCCUUCUCCUUGGAAACAACCGCAACACCCAUAUGAUGGUGGGUCCGGGUCAUCCACCCGGCGCAAGUCAUUUUGUCUCGCAUUUUGCCUAUGUGAUCCUAUCCUCGUCAAGCAUUUCUACAAUAUUAUUGUAAGUAAUUUGGCCGUUUCAUUCCAAAGUACACAUUUGAUAUUCUUAACAAAUAUGGCAUGACAUGUGCAACCAUUGAAUACUAGAAACGUACAUUAACAUUGGUUUAGGUUUCUCCAAUGGCUUGUUUUCCGAUGAUCCAUGAUAGAUGUAAAUGAUAUAAAACAAUUCAUUUGUUGACCAUGGUAUAGUAUCAGAUCUUCUACCUUUUUGAAUUUUAAGAAAAAUCAAGGAAAAGUAAGGCUAGCUAUUAGUUUUUUUUGUAUUGGUACAACGCCACCCCAAAAAAUUAAGAAAUUACAAAUAGCACCAUGGGGAACUAAUCUAGCCAUACCACCAACGUAGGAUGAGGGCACACCGCCGCUCCUUGCCGGUGAAACCCUUGGUUGUGCGAAUAGAUUAAAGAUGUUGGGAACUCAUCCUCGGUCCAAGAGGACCAGCAUGCCGGAAAUAGGUCAGAUUGGAACUGCGUCACCACUUGCGUUGGCUUGUUGAACAGUGACGAUGGAAGCGCCGCCACCGACAAGACCCUACAAAUCCAGAGUCAUCACGCUCCUACAAAAUCUCCAUGCCCCCAUGUCGACACCAGAGCGCGUGUCAUCACAACGGCAGGGCCAGGGCAUAAAAUCCACCUCGAGUUCGGUAUCGUCACCGCACCAGUCUCGAUUGGUUAGCCUGCUACCAGAUCUACCAACGACCGCCUCAAAACAACCCACCGAGAUGGAAUCCGAAGCAAAUUUAUUCCACGCCACCACCACCAUAAUCAUGAAGACAACAACGAUGGAAGGACGACAAGCACAUAUUGCCAUCAACUCUGAGGAGCCGCCAUGAAGGUUGCCACCUGUGUGGGAAUAGAGUUUAGGCAGAUCUAUCCACUCGAACGCCGCCCCCACCACCCCAAUGAUGCACCAUGGCAGACAAACCCUAAUCCUACCUAGUAGGCCUGACCAAGGAACGAGAUCCCCUACCAAUAAAUCGUACAAGAAUAACGAGAAAGAAACCAACGCAAAAACAGUCCCCACAAAAAUGUAUAUUCCACGCGGGAUUUCUGUAUCAACACGUUGACAAAUACCAGUCUGAUCAUAAUGCUCUAUGUACAAUUAUUUUUCGAAAAUAAUCUCGAGCAUGACCCUACCACAUGUUCUUAAUAUUAUGUAAUGAACAUCAUGGGCAAAAAUAGUAUGCACUUGAUCAUGCAAUCCUAAUCAAUAAAUGUACCCUUUGGCUUACCACAUCAAGCUUUUGCGAAUGCUGGAGAGGGAGACCCGGUCAGGUGUAAGUUACAUCGAGAACGAAAAUGAGCAGAACAUCACGCCUUCUCCAAUCGGCGAAAUGAUUGGUUCAAAUUCUCAAUGUAACUUACACCCACCAUAUCUCCCUCCUUGGUAUUUUCAAAUGGACAAUUGAAGGACUCGGUACUACAAGUGUCAAGCUUUAGACAAACCAAAAACUAGAUUUUACUAGUGUUGUUGGCUGAAUGUAGGUCACUUGGAGGUAUGAGGAUCGGAACUCCCCUUAUAUAUAGAAAGAAAAUGGUUGUAACCCGAAACUUUGAGUUCAUCCUUAUCCAAUUAUUCACAUUAAGUACGAUCCAAGUUUACAUUGAUUCCUAUUUGAUUCGAUUAAAAAGCUCCAGGCAUCAAUGAGCGCUAAGAUAUGUGCAGGAACCGCGCAAAACAAGGGGCUAUGGCCCACAAGCGACCCAUGUGCUGGGAUGUGCCACCGUGCCUCAUGGGCCCCACAUUGCACCCUAGGCCUUGCCACGUUUAUACAUCCUUCUCCUUUGAAACAACCGCAACACCCAUAUGAUGGUGGGUCCGGGUCAUCCACCCGGUGCAAGUCAUUUUGUCUGGCAUUUUGCCUAUGUGAUCCUAUCCUCGUCAAGCAUUGCUACAUUUAUUGUAAGUGAUUUGGCCGUUUCAUUCCAAAGGACACAUUUGAUAUUCUUAACAAAUAUGGCAUGACAUGUGCAAACAUUGAAUACUAGAAACGUACAUUAACAUUGGUUAAGGUUCCUCCAAUGGCUUAUUUUCGAAUGAUCCAUGAUAGAUGUAAAUGAUGUAGAACAAUUCAUUUGUUGACCAUGGUAUAUUAUCAGAGACUUUACCUUUUUGAAUUUUAAGAAAAAUCAAGGAAAAGUAAGGCUAGCUAUUAGUUUUUUUUGUGAGAAGAAACCCAAAUUAUAUUAAAAAUAAGUACUGGUACAACGCCACCCCCAAAAAUUAAGAAAUUACAAAUAGCACCAUGGGGAACCAAUCUAGCCAUACCACCAACGUAGGAUGAGGGCGCACCGCCGCUCCUUGCCAGCGAAACCCUUGUUGUGCGCAUAGAUUAAAGAUGUUGGGAACUCAUCCUCGGUCCAGGAGGACCAGCAUGGCGGAAAUAGGUCAGAUUGGAACUGCGUGACCACUUGCAUCGGCUUUUUAAACGGCGACGAUGAAAGCGCCGCCACCAACGAGAACAUACAAAUCCAAAGUCACCACGCUCCUACAAAAGCUCCAUGCCCCCAUGUCGACACAAGAGCGUGUGUCAUCACAACAGCGGGGCCAGGGAAUAAAAUCAACCUCGAGUUCGGUAUCGUCGCCGCACCAGUCUCGAUUGGCUAGUCUGCUACCAGAUCUACCAACGACCGCCUCACAACAAACCACCAGAAUUGAAUCCGAAGACAAUUUAUUCCACGCCACCACCACCAUAAUCAUCAAGACAACAAUGAUGGAAGGGCGACAAGCACAUAUUGCCAUCAACUUUGAGGAGCCGCCAUGAAGGUCACCGCCGGUGUGGAAAUAGAGUUUUGGCAGAUUUAUCCGCCCGAACGCCGCCCCCACCACCCCAACGACGCACCAAGGCAGACAAACCCUAACCCUACCUACUAGGCCUGGCGGAGGAAUGAGAUCCCCCUACCAAUAAAUUGUACAAGAAUAAUGAGAAAGAAACCAAAACAAAAACAAUCCCCACAAAAAUGUAUAUUCCAUGCAGGAUUUCCGUAUCAACACUUUGACAAAUACCAGUCUGAUCAUAAUGCUCUAAUUACAAUUAUUUUUCUAAAAGAAUGUCGAGCAUGAUCCUGCCACAUGUUCUUAAUAAUAUGUCGUGAACAUCAUGAGCAAAAACAGUAUGCACUUGAUCAUGCAAUCGUAAUCACUAAAUGUACCAGUUGGCUUACCACAUCAAGCUUUUGCAAAUGCUGGAGAGGGAGACGCGGUCAGGUUUAAGUUACAUCGAAAAUGAUAAUGAGCAGAACAUCACGCCUUCUCCAAUCGGCGAAAUGAUUUGUUCAAAUUCUCAAUGUAACUUACACGAAACACAUCUCCCUCCUCGGUAUUCUCAAAUGGACAAUUGAAUGACUCGGUACUACAAGUGUCAAGCUUUAGACACACCAAAAACUAGAUUUUACUAGUGUUGUUGGCUGAAUUUAGGUCACUUGGAGGUAUGAGGAGAGGAACUCCCGUUAUAUGUAGAAAGAAAAUGGUUGUAUCCCAAAAUUUCAAGCUCAUCCUUAUCCAAUUAUUCACAUUAAGUACGAUCCAAGUUUACAUUGGUUCCUAUUUGAUUCGAUUAAAAAGCUCCAAGCAUCAAUGAGCGCUAAGAUAUGAGCAGGAACCGCCCAAAACAAGGGGCUAUGGCCCCCCAAGCGACCCAUGUGCUGGGAUGUGCCACCAUGCCUCAUGGGACCCACAUUGCGCCCUAGGCCUUGCCACGUGUUUACAUCCUUCUCCUUUGAAACAACCGCAACACCCAUAUGAUGGUGGGUCCGGGUCAUCCACCCGGCGCAAGUCAUUUUGUAUGGCAUUUGGCCUAUGUGAUCCUAUCCUCGUCAAGCAUUGCUACAAUAUUAUUGUAAGUGAUUUGGCCGUUUCAUUCCAAAGGACACAUUUGAUAUUCUUAACAAAUAUGGCAUGACAUGUGCAAACAUUGAAUACUAGAAACGUACAUUAACAUUGGUUAAGAUUUCUCCAAUGGCUUUUUUUUUCCGAUGAUCCAUGAUAUGUGUAAAUUGUAUAGAACAAUUCAUUUGUUGACCAUGGUAUAGUAUCAGAUCUUCUACCUUUUUCAAUUUUAAGAAAAAUCAAGGAAAAGUAAGGCUAGCUAUUAGGUUUUUAUUGUGAGAAGAAACCCAAAUUAUAUUAAAAAUAAGUACUGGUACAAUGCCACCCCAAAAAUUUAAGAAAUUACAAAUAGCACCAUGGGGAACCAAUGUAGCCAUACCACCAAUGUAGGAUGAGGGCGCACCGCCGCUCCUUACCAGCGAAACCCUUGGUUGUGCGCAUAGAUUAAAGAUGUUGGGAACUCAUCCUCGGUCCAAGAGGACCAGCAUGCCGGAAAUAGGUCAGGUUGGAACUGCGUGACCACUUGCGUCGGCUUGUUGAGCGGCGACGAUGGAAGCGUCGCCACCAAUGAGACCAUACAAAUCCGAAGUCACCACGCUCCUACAAAAGCUCCAUGCCUCCAAGUCAACACAAGAGCGUGUGCCAUCUCAACGGCGGGGCCAGGGCAUAAAAUCCACCUCGAGUUCGAUAUCAUCGCCGCACCAGUCUCGAUUGGUUAGCCUACUACCAGAUCUACCAACGACCGCCUCACAACAACCAAGCGGAAUCGAAUCCGAAGAAAAUUUAUUCCACGUCACCACCACCAUAAUCAUCAAGACAACAACGAUGGAAGGACGACAAGCAUAUAUUGCCAUCAACUAUGAGGAGUCGCCAUGAAGGUCCCCACUAGUGUGGGAAUAGAGUUUAGGCAGAUUUAUCUGCCUGAAUGCCGCCCCCACCACCCCAAUGAUGCACCACGGCAAAUAAACCCUAACCCUACCUACUAGGCCUGACGGAGGAAUGAGAUCCCCCUACCAAUAAAUCGUACAAGAAUAAUGAGAAAGAAACCAAUGCAAAAACAAUCUCAACAAAAAUGUAUAUUCCACGCAGGAUUUCCGUAUCAACACUUUGAGAAAUACAAUUCUGCUCAUAAUGCUCUAUGUACAAUUAUUUUUCUAAAAGAAUCUCGAGCAUGACCCUGCCACAUGUUCUUAAUAUUAUGUAAUGAAUAUCCUGGGUAAAAAUAGUAUGCACUUGAUCAUGCAAUCCUAAUCAAUAAAUGUACCCAUUGGCUUACUAUAUCAAGCUUUUGUGAAUGCUGGAGAGGGAGACGCGGUCAGGUGUAAGUUACAUCGAAAACGACAAUGAGCAGAGCAUCACGCCUUCUCCAAUCGGUGAAAUGAUUGGUUCAAAUUCUCAAUGUAACUUACACCCACCACAUUUCCCUCCUCGGUAUUCUCAAAUGGAUAAUUGAAGGACUCGGUACUGCAAGUGUCAAGCUUUAGACACACCAAAAACUAGAUUUUACUAGUGUUGUUGGCUGAAUACAGGUCACUUGGAGGUAUGAGGAUAGGAACUCCCCUUAUAUAUAGAACGAAAAUGGUUGUAACCCGAAACUUUGAGUUCAUACUUAUCCAAUUAUUCACAUUAAGUAUGAUCCAAGUUUACAUUGGUUCCUAUUUGAUUCGAUCAAAAAGCUCCAGGCAUCAAUGAGCGCUAAUAUAUGAGCAGGAACCGCACAAAACAAGCGCCUAUGGCCCCACAAGGGACCCAUAUGUUGGGAUGUGCCACCAUGCCUCAUGGGCCCCACAUUGCACCCUAUGCCUUGCCACGUGUUUACAUCCUUCUCCUUUGAAACAACCGCAACACCCAUAUGAUGGUGGGUCCGCGUCAACCAACCGGCACAAGUCAUUUUGUCUAGCAUUUGGCCUAUAUGAUCCUAUCCUCGUCAAGCAUUGCUACAAUAUUAUUGGAAGUGAUUUGGUUGUUUCAUUCCAAAGUACACAUUUUAUAUUCUUAACAAAUAUGGCAUGACAUGUGCAAACAUUGAAUACUAGAAACGUACAUUAACAUUGGUUAAGGCUUCUCCAAUGGCUUAUUUUCCGAUGAUCCAUGAUAGAUGUAAAUGAUAUAGAACAAUACAUUUGUUGACCAUGGUAUAGUAUCCGAUCUUCUACCAUUUUGAAUUUUAUGAAAAUAUAGGAAAAGUAAGGUUAGCUAUUAGUUUUUUUGUGAGAAGAAACCCAAUUAUAUUAAAAAUAAGUAAUGGUACAACGCCACCCCAAAAAGUUAAGAAAUUAUAAAUAGAACCAUGGGGAACCAAUCUAGCCAUACCACCAACGUAGGAUGAGGGUGCACCGCUGCUCCUUGCCGGUGAAACCCUUGGUUGUGCACAUAGAUUAAAGAUGUUGGGAACUCAUCCUCGUUCCAGGAGGACCAGCAUGCCGGAAAUAGGUCAGAUUGGAACUGCGUCACCACUUGCGUCGGCUUGUUGAACGACAACGAUGAAAGACCGUUGGCUUACCACAUCAAGCUUUCGCGAAUGCUAGAGAGGGAGACGCGGUCAGGUGUAAGUUACAUCGAGAAUGACAAUGAUCAGAACAUCACGCCUUCUCCAAUCGACGAAAUGAUUGGUUCAAAUUCUCAAUGUAACUUACACCCACCACAUCUCCCUCCUCGGUAUUCUCAAAUGGAAAAUUGAGUGACUCGGUACUGCAAGUGUCAAGCUUUAGACACACAAAAAAACUAGAAUUUACUAGUGUUGUUGGCUGAAUAUAGGUCACUUGGAGGUAUGAGAAGAGGAACUCCCCUUAUAUGUAGAAAGAAAAUGGUUGUCAUCCGAAACUUUGAGUUCAUCCUUAUCCAAUUAUUCACAUUAAGUACGAUCCAAGUUUACAUUGGUUCCUAUUUGAUUUGAUUAAAAAGCUCCAGGCAUCAAUGAGCGCUAAAAUAUGUGCAGGAACCACGCAAAACAAGGGGCUAUGGCCCCACAAGGGACCCAUGUGCUGGGAUGUGCCACCAUGCCUCAGGGACCCCUCAUUGCACCCCAGGCCUUGCCACGUGUUUACAUCCUUCUCCUUUGAAACAACGAAAACACCGAUAUGAGGGUGGGUCCGCGUCAUCCACCCGGUGCAAGUCAUUUUGUCUGGCAUUUGGCCUAUGUGAUCCUAUCCUCGUCAAGCAUUGCUACAAUAUUAUUGUAAGUGAUUUGGCUGUUUCAUUCCAAAGUACACAUUUGAUAUUCUUAACAAAUAUGGCAUGGCAUGUGCAAAUAUUGAAUACUAGAAACGUACAUUAACAUUGGUUAAGGUUUCUCCAAUGGCUUAUUUUCCGAUGAUCCAUGAUAGAUGUAAAUGAUAUAGAACAAUCAUCUGUUUACCAUGGUAUAGUAUCAGAUCUUCUACCAUUUUGAAUUUUAAGAAAAAUCAAGGAAAAGUUAGGCUAGCUAUUUUUUUUUGAGAAGAAACCCAAAUUAUAUUAAAAAUAAGUAAAGGUACAACGCCACCCCAAAAAAUUAAGAAAUUACAAAUAGCACCAUGGGGAACCAAUCUAGCCAUACCACCAACGUAGGAUGAGGGCGCACCGCUGCUCCUUCCCGGUGAAACCCUUGGUUAUGCGCAUAGAUUAAAGAUGUUGGGAACUCAUCCUCGUUCCAGGAGGACCAGCAUGCCGGAAAUAGGUCAGGUUGGAACUGCGUCACCACUUGCGUCGGCUUGUUGAACGACAACGAUGAAAGCGCCGCCACCAACGAGAACCUACAAAUCCGGAGUCACCACGCUCCUACAAAAGCUCCAUGCCCCCAUGUCGACACAAGAGCGUGUGUCAUCACAACGGCGGGACCAGGGCAUAAAAUCCACCUCGAGUUCGGUAUCGUCGCCUUACCCAUCCUGAUUGGUUAGCCUGCUACCAGAUCUACCAACGACCGCCUCACGACAACCCACCGGAAUCGAAUCCGAAGCAAAUUUAUUACAUGCCACCACCACCAUAAUCAUCAAGACAACAAUGAUGGAAGGACGACAAGCACAUAUUGCCAUCAACAAUGAGGUGCCCCCAUGAAGGUCGCCACCGAUGUGGGAAUAGAGUUUAGGCAGAUUUAUCCACCCGAAUACCGCCCCCACCCGAACGACGCACCACGGCAGACAUACGCUAACCCGUCCUACUAGGCCUGAUGGAGGAACGAGACCCCCCUACCAACAAAUCGUACAAGAAUAACGAGAAAGAAACCAACGCAAAAACAAUCCCCACAAAAAUGUAUAUUCCACGCGGGAUUUCCGUAUCAACACUUUGAGAAAUACCAUUCUGAUCAUAAUGCUCUAUGUACAAUUAUUUUUCUAAAAGAAUCUCGAGCAUGACCCUGCCACAUGUUCUUAAUAUUAUGUAAUGAACAUCAUGGGCAAAAAUAGUAUGUACUUGAUCAUGCAAUCCUAAUCAAUAAAUGUACCCAUUGGCUUACCACAUCAAGCUUUUGCGAAUACUAGAAAGGGAGACGUAGUCAGGUGUAAGUUACAUUGAGAACGACAAUGAACAGAGCAUCACGCCUUCUCCAAUCGGUGAAAUGAUUGGUUUAAAUUCUCAAGGUAACUUACACCCACCACAUCUCCCUCCUCGGUAUUCUCAAAUGGAUAAUUGAAGGACUCGGUACUGCAAGUGUCAAGCUUUAGACACACCAAAAACUAGAUUUUUACUAGUGUUGUUGGCUGAAUAUAGGUCACUUGGAGGUAUGAGGAUAAGAACUUCCCUUAUAUAUAGAAAGAAAAUGUUGUAACCCGAAACUUUGAGUUCAUCCUUAUCCAAUUAUUCACAUUAAGUACGAUCCAAGUUUACAUUGGUUCCUAUUUGAUUCGAUUAAAAAGCUCCAGGCAUCAAUGAGCGCUAAGAUAUGAGCAGGAACCGCACAAAACAAGGGGCAAUGGACCCAUGUGCUGGGAUGUGCCACCAUGCCUCAUGGGCCCCACAUUGCACCCUAGGCCUUGCCACGUGUUUACAUCCUUCUCCUUUGAAACAACUGCAACACCCAUAUGAUGGUGGAUCUGGGUCAUCCACCCGGCGCAAGUCAUUUUUUCUGGCAUUUGGCCUAUGUGAUCCUAUCCUCGUCAAGCGAAGCUACAAUAUUAUUGUAAGUGAUUUGGCCGUUUCAUUCCAAAGGACACAUUUGAUAUUCUUAACAAAUAUGGCAUGACAUGUGCAAACAUUGAAUACUAGAAACGUAAGUUAACAUUGGUUAAGGUUUCUCCAAUGGCUUAUUUUCCGAUGAUCCUUGAUAGAUGUAAAUUGGAUAGAACAAUUCAUUUGUUUACCAUGGUAUAGUAUCAGAUCUUCUACCUUUUUAAAUUUAAGAAAAAUCAAGGAAAAGUAAGGCUAGCUAUUAGUUUUUGUUCUCAGAAGAAACCCAAGUUAUAUCAAAAAUAAGUACUAGUACAAUGCCACCUCAAAAUAUUAAGAAAUUACAAAUGGCACCAUGGGGACCCAAUCUAGCCAUACCACCAACAUAGGAUGAGGGCCCACCGCCGCUCCUUACCGGCGAAACCCUUGGUUGUGCGCAUAGAUUAAAGAUGUUGGGAACUCAUCCUCGGUCUAGGAGGACCAGCAUGCUGGAAAUAGGUCAGAUUGGAACUGCGUGACCACUUGCGUCGGCUUGUUGUUUGGCGACGAUGAAAGCGCCGCCACCAAUGAGAACCUACAAAUCCGAAGUCACCACACUCCUCCAAAAGCACCAUGCCCCCAUGUCGACACAAGAGCAUGUGUCAUCACAACGGCGGGGCCAGGGCAUAAAAUCCACCUCGAGUUCAGUAUCGUCGCCGCAGCAGUCUCGAUUGGUUAGCCUGCUACCAGAUCUACCAACCACCGCCUCACAACAACCCACCAGAAUCAAAUCCGAAGCAAAUUUGUUCCACGCCACCACCACCAUAAUCAUCAAGACAACAACGAUGGAAGGACGACAAGCACAUAUUGCCAUCAACUCUGAGGAGCCGCCAUGAAGGUCGCCACCGGUGUGGGAAUAGAGUUUAGGCAGAUUUAUCCGCCCGAACGCUGCCCCCACAACCCCAGCGGCGCACCACGGCAGACAAGCCCUAACCCUACCUACUAGGCCUGACAGAGGAACGAGAUCCCCCUACCAAUAAAUCGUACAAGAAUAACGAGAAAGAAACCAACGCAAAAACAAUCCCCGUAAAAAUGUAUAUUCCACGCGGGAUUUCCGUGUCAACACUUUGAGAAAUACCAGUCUGAUCAAAAUGCUCUAUGUACAAUUAGUUUUCUAAAAGAAUCUUGAGCAUGACCCUGCCACAUGUUCUUAAUAUUAUGUAAUGAACAUCAUGGGCAAAAAUAGUAUGCACUUGAUCAUGCAAUCCUAAUCAAUAAAUGUACCCGUUGGCUUACCACAUCAAGCUUUUGCGAAUGCUGGAGAGGGAGACGCGGUCAGGUGUAAGUUACAUUGAGAACGACAAUCACCAAAGCAUCACGCCUUCUCCAAUCGGCGAAAUGAUUGGUUCAAAUUCUCAAUGUAACUUACAACCACCACAUCUCCCUCCUCGGUAUUCUCAAAUGGACAAUUUAAGGACUCGGUACUGCAAGUGGCAAGCUUUAGACACACCAAAAACUAGAUUUUACUAGUGUUGUUGGCUGAAUAUAGGUCACUUGGAGGUAUGACGAGAGGAACUCCCCUUAUAUAUAGAAAUAAAAUGGUUGUAACCCGAAACUUUGAGUUCAUCCUUAUCUAAUUAUUCACAUUAAGUACGAUCCAAGUUUACAUUGUUUCCUAUUUGAUUCGAUUAAAAAGCUCCAGGCAUCUAUGAGCGCUAAGAAAUGAGCAGGAACCGGGCAAAACAAGGGGCUAUGGCCCCACAAGGGACCCAUGUGCUGGUAUGUGCCACCAUGCCUCAUGGGCCCCAUAUUGCACCCUAGGCCUUGCCAGCGUGUUUACAUCCUUCUUCUUUGAAACAACCGCAACACCCAUAUGAUGGUGGGUCCGGGUCACCCACCCGGCGCAAGUCAUUUUGUCUGGCAUUUGGCCUAUGUCAUCCUAUCCUCGUCAAGCAUUGCUACAAUAUUAUUGUAAAUGAUUUUGGGCGCUUCAUUCCAAAGGACACAUUUGAUAUUCUUAACAAAUAUGGCAUGACAUGUGCAAACACUGAAUACUAGGUACGUACAUUAACAUUGGAUAAGUUUUCUCCAAUGGCUUAUUUUCUGAUGAUCCAUGAUAGAUGUAAAUGAUAUAGAACAAUUCAUUUGUUGACCAUGAUAUAGUAUCAGAUCUUCUAUCAGUUUGAAUUUUAAGAAAAAUCAAGGAAAAGUAAGGCUAGCCAUUAGUUUUUUUUGUGAGAAGAAACCCAAAUUAUAUUAAAAAUAAGUAAUGGUACAACGCCACCCCUAAAAAUUAAGAAAUUACAAAUAGCACGAUGGGGAACCAAUCUAGCCAUACCACCAACGUAGGAUGAGGGCGCACCGCUGCUCCUUGCCGAUGAAACGCUUGGUUGUGCGCAUAGAUUAAAGAUGUUGGGAACUCAUCCUUGUUCCAGGAGGACCAGUAUGCCGGAAAUAGGUCAGAUUGGAACUGCGUAACCACUUGCGUCGACUUGUUGAACAUCGACGAUGAAAGCGCCGCCACCAACGAGAACCUACAAAUUCGGAGUCACCAUGCUCCUACAAAAGCUCCAUGCCCCCAUGUCGACACAAGAGGGUGUGUCAUCACAAUGGUGAGGCCAGGGUGUAAAAUCCACCUCGAGUUCGGUAUCGUCGCCGCACCAGUCUUCACUGGUUAGGCUGCUACCAGAUCUACCAACGACCUCCUCACAACAACCCACCGGAAUCGAAUCCGAAGCAAAUUUAUUCCACACCACCAGCACCAUAAUCAUCAAGACAAGAAUGAUGGAAACACGACAAGCACAUAUUGCCAUCAACUCUAAGGAGCCACCAUGAAGGUUGCCACCGGUGUGGGAAUAGAGUUUAGGCAUAUUUAUCCACCCGAACGCUUCCCCCACCACCCCAACGACGCACCACGACAGACAAACCCUAACCCUACCUACUAGGCCUGAUGGAGGAACGAGAUCCCCCUACCAAUAAAUCGUACGAGAAUAACGAGAAAGAAACCAACGCAAAAACAAUCCCCACAAAAAUGUAUAAUCCAUGCGGGAUUUCCGUAUCAACACUUCGACAAAUACCAGUCUGAUCGUAAUGCUCUAUGUACAAUUAUUUUUCUAAAAGAAUCUCGAGCAUGACCCUGCCACAUGUUCUUAAUAUUAGGUAAUGAACAUCAUGGGCAAAAAUAGUAUGCACGUGAUCAUGCUGUCCUAAUCAAUAAAUGUAUCCAUUGGGUUACCACAUCAAGCUUUUGUGAAUGCUGGAGAGGGAGACGCGGACAGGUGUAAGUUACAUUGACAACGACAAUGAGUAGAACAUCAUGCCUUCUCCAAACGGCAAAAUGAUUGGUUCAAAUUCUCAAUGUAACUUAAACCCACCACAUCUCCCUCCUCGGUAUUCUCAAAUGGACAAUUGAAGGACUCGGUACUGCAAGUGUCAAGCUUUAGACACACCAAAACCUAGAUUUUACUAGUAAUGUUGGCUGAAUAGAGGUCACUUGGAGGUAUGAGGAGAGGAACUCCCCUUAUAUAUAGAAAGAAAAUGGUUCUAACCCGAAACUUUGAGUUCAUCCUUAUCCAAUUAUUUACAUUAAGUACGAUCCAAGUUUACAUUGGUUCCUAUUUGAUUCGAUUAAAAAGCUCCAGGCAUCAAUGAGCGCUAAGAUAUGAGCAGGAACCGCGCAAAACUAGGGGCUAUGGCCCCACAAGGGACCCAUGUGCUGGGAUGUGCCACCAUGCCUCAGGGGCCCCACAUUGCAACCUAGGCCUUGCCACGUGUUUACAUCCUUCUCCUUUGAAACAACCACAACACUGAUAUGAUGGUGGGUCUGGGUCAUCCACUCGGCGCAACUCAUUUUGUCUGGCAUUUGGCCUAUGUGAUCCUAUCCUCGUCAAGCAUUGCUACAAUUUUAUAGUAAGUGAUUUGGCCGUUUCAUUCCAAAGUACGCAUUUGAUAUUCUUAAUAAAUAAGUCAUCACAUGUGUAAACAUUGAAUACUAGAACUGUACAUUAACAUUGGUUAAUGUUUCUCCAAUGGCUUAUUUUCCGAUGAUCCAUGAUAGAUGUAAAUGAUAUAGAACAAUUCAUUUGUUGACCAUGCUUAUAGUAUCAUAUCUUCUAACUUUUUGAAUUUUAAGAAAAAACAAGGAAAAGUAAGGCUAGCUAUUAGUUUUCUUUUGUGAGAAGAAACCCAAAUUGUAUUGAAAAUAAGUACUGGUACAACGCCACCCCCAAAAAUUAAGAAAUUACAAAUAGCACCAUGGGGAACCAAUCUAGCCAUACCACCAACGUAGGAUGAGGGUGCACCGCUGCUCCUUCCCGGUGAAACCCUUGGUUGUGCGCAUAGAUUAAGGAUGCUGGGAACUCAUCCUCGGUCCAGGAGGACUAGCAUGCCGGAUAUAGGUCAGAUUGGAACUGCGUGACCACUUGCGUCAGCUUGUUGAACGGCGACGAUGAAAGCGCCGCGACGAAUGAGAACAUACAAAUUCGGAGUCACCACGCUCCUAAAAAGCUCCAUGCCCCCAUGUCGACACCAGAGCGCGUGUCAUCACAACGGCGGGGCCAGGGCAUAAAAUUGACCUCGAGUUCGAUAUCGUCGCCGCACCAGUCUCGAUUGGUUAGCCUGCAACCAGAUCUACCAAUGACCGCAUCACAACAACCCACUGGAAACGAAUCGGAAGCAAAUUUAUUCCACGCCACCACCACCAUAAUCGUCAAGACAACAGCGAUGGAAGGACGACAAGCACAUAUUGCCAUCAACUUUGAAGAGCCGCCAUGAAGGUCGCCACCAGUGUGGGAAUAGAGUUUAGGCAGAUUUAUUCGCCCGAUCGCCGCCCCCACCACCCCAACGAUGCACCAUGGCAGACAGACCCGAACCCUACUUACUAGGCCUGACGGAGGAACGAGAUCCCCCUACCAAUAAAUCGUAUAAGAAUAAUGAGAAAGAAACCAACGCAAAAACAAUCCCCACAAAAAUGUAUAUUCCAUGCGGGAUUUCCAUAUCAACACUUUGAGAAAUACCAAUCUGAUCAUAAUGCUCUAUGUACAAUUAUUUUUCUAAAAGAAUAUCGAGCAUGACCCUGCCACAUGUUCUUAAUAAUAUGUAAUGAACAUCAUGGGCAAAAAUAGUAUGCACUUGAUCGUGCAAUCCUAAUCAAUAAAUGUACCCAUUGGCUUACCACAUCUAGCUUUUGCGAAUGCUGGAGAGGGAGACGCGGUCAGGUGUAAGUUACAUCGAGAACGACGAUGAGCAGAACAUCAUGCCUUCUCCAAUCGGUGAAAUGAUUGGUUCAAAUUCUCAAUGUAACUUACACCCACCACAUCUCCCUCCUCAGUAUUCUCAAAUGGACAACUGAAGGACUCGUUACUGCAAGUGUCAAGCUUAAGACAAACAAAAAACUAGAUUUUACUAGUGUUGUUGGCUGAAUAUAGGGCACUUGGAGGUAUGAGGAGAGGAACUCCCCUUAUAUAUAGAAAGGAAAUGGUUGUAACCCGAAACUUUGAGUUCAUCCUUAUCUAAUUAUUCACAUUAAAUACGAUCCAAGUUUACAUUGGUUCCUAUUUGAUUGGAUUACAAAGUUCCAAGCAUCAAUGAGCGCUAAGAUAUGAGGAGGAACCACGCAAAACAAGGGGUUAUGGCCCCACAAGGGACCCAUGUGCUGGGAUGUGCCACCAUGCCUCAUGGGCCCCACAUUGCACCCUAGGCCUUGCCAUGUGUUUAAAUCCUUCUCCUUUGAAACAACCGCAACACCCAUAUGAUGGUGGGUCCAGAUCAUCCACCCGGCGCAAGUCAUUUUGUCUGGCAUUUGUCCUAUGUGAUCAUAUCCUCGUCAAGCAUUGCUACAAUAUUAUUCUACGUGAUUUGACCAUUUCAUUCCAAAGUACACAUUUGAUAUUCUUAACAAAUAAGGCAUCACAUGUGUAAACAUUGAAUACUAGAAACGUACAUUAACAUUGGUUAAUGUUUCUCCAAUGGCUUAUUUUCCGAUGAUCCAUGAUAGAUGUAAAUGAUAUAGAACAAUUCAUUUGUUGACCAUGUUUAUAGUAUCAUAUCUUCUAACUUUUUGAAUUUUAAGAAAAAACAAGUAAACGUAAGGCUAGCUAUUAGUUUUAUUUUGUGAGAAGAAACCCAAAUUGUAUUGAAAAUAAGUACUGGUACAACGCCACCCCAAAAAAUUAAGAAAUUACAAGUAGCACCAUGGGAACCAAUCUAGCCAUACCACCAACGUAGGAUGAGGGUGCACCACUGCUCCCUGCCGGCGAAACCCUUGGUUGUGCGCAUAGAUUACAGAUGCUGGGAACUCAUCCUCGGUACAGGAGGACCAGCAUGCCAGAUAUAGGUCAGAUUGGAACUGCGUCACCACUUGUGUCGGCUUGUUGAACGGCGAUGAUGAAAGCGCCGCCACCAAUGAGAACCUACAAAUCCGGAGUCACCACGCUCCUACAAAUGCUCCAUGCCCCCAUGUCGAUACCAGAGCGGGUGUCAUCACAAUGACGGGGCCAGGGCAUAAAAUCCACCUCGAGUUUGGUAUCAUCGCAACACCAAUCUCGGUUGGUUAGCCUGCUACCAGAUCUACCAACGAUCGCCUCAGAACAACCCAACAAAAUCGAAUCCGAAGCAAAUUUAUUCCAUGCUACCACCACCAUAAUCAUCAAGACAACUUCGAUGGAAGGACAAGAAGCACAUAUUGCCAUCAACUCCGGGAGCCGCCAUGAAGGUCUCCACCGGCGUGGGAAUGGAGUUUAGGCAGAUUUAUCCGCUCGAAUGCCACCCCCACCACCGAAACGACGCACCACGGCAGACAAACCCCAACCCUACCCACUAGGCCUGAUGGAGGAACGAGAUCCCCCUCCCAAUAAAUCAUACAAGAAUAACGAGAAAGAAACCAACGCAAAAAUAAUCCCCACAAAAAUAUAUAUUCCAAGCGGGAUUUCCAUAUCAACACUUUGAGAAAUACCACUCCUGAUCAUAAUGCUCUAUGUACAAUUGUUUUUCUAAAAGAAUCUGGAGCAUGAACCUGCCACAUGUUCUUAAUAUUAUGUAAUGAACAUCAUGGGCAAAAAUAGUAUGCACUUUAUCAUGCAAUCCUAAUCAAUAAAUGUACCCGUUGGCUUACCACAUCUAACUUUUGCGAAUACUGAAGACGGAGACGCGGUCAGGUGUAAGUUACAUCGAGAACGACAAUGAGCAGAAUGUCAUGCCUUCUCAAAUCAGCGAAAUGAUUGGCUCAAUUUCUCAAUGUAACUUACACCCACCACAUCGCCCUCCUCGGUAUUCUCAAAUGGACAACUGAAGGACUCGGUACUGCAAGUGUCAAGCUUUAGACACACAAAAAACUAGAUUUCACUAGUGUUGUGGGCUGAAUAUAGGUCACUUGGAGGUAUGAGGAGAGGAACUCUCCUUAUAUAUAGAAAGAAAAUGGUUGUAACCCGAAACUUUGAGUUCAUCCUUAUCCAAUUAUUCACAUUAAGUACGAUCCAAGUUUAAAUUGGUUCCUAUUUGAUCCGAUUAAAAAGCUCCAGGCAUCUAUGAGCGCUACGAUAUGAGCAGGAACCGCGCAAAAAAAGGGGCUAUGGCCCCACAAGGGACCCAUGUGCUGGGAUGUGCCACCAUGCCUCAGGGGCCCCACAUAGCACCCUAGGCCUUGCCACAUGUUUACAUCCUUCUCCUUGGAAACAACCGCAACACCCAUAUGAUGGUGGGUCCGGGUCAUCCACCCGGCGCAAGUCAUUUUGUCUCGCAUUUUGCCUAUGUGAUCCUAUCCUCGUCAAGCAUUGCUACAAUAUUAUUGUAAGUAAUUUGGCCGUUUCAUUCCAAAGUACACAUUUGAUAUUCUUAACAAAUAUGGCAUGACAUGUGCAACCAUUGAAUACUUCAAACGUACAUUAACAUUGGUUAAGGUUUCUCCAAUGGCUUGUUUUCCGAUGAUCCAUGGUAGAUGUAAAUGAUAUAAAACAAUUCAUUUGUUGACCAUGGUAUAGUAUCAGAUCUUCUACCUUUUUGAAUUUUAAGAAAAAUCAAGGAAAAGUAAGGCUAGCUAUUAGUUUUUUUUGUAUUGGUACAACGCCACCCCAAAAAAUUAAGAAAUUACAAAUAGCACCAUGGGGAACCAAUCUAGCCAUACCACCAACGUAGGAUGAGGGCACACCGCCGCUCCUUGCCGGUGAAACCCUUGGUUGUGCGAAUAGAUUAAAGAUGUUGGGAACUCAUCCUCGGUCCAGGAGGACCAGCAUGCCGGAAAUAGGUCAGAUUGGAACUGCGUCCCCACUUGCGUCGGCUUGUUGAACAGUGACGAUGGAAGCGCCGCCACCAACAAGACCCUACAAAUCCGGAGUCAUCACGCUCCUACAAAAUCUCCAUGCCACCAUGUCGACACCAGAGCGCGUGUCAACACAACGGCAGGGCCAGGGCAUAAAAUCCACCUCGAGUUCGGUAUCGUCACCGCACCAGUCUCGAUUGGUUAGCCUGCUACCAGAUCUACCAACGACCGCCUCAAAACAACCCACCAGGAUGGAAUCCGAAGCAAAUUUAUUCCACGCCACCACCACCAUAAUCAUGAAGACAACAACGAUGGAAGGACGACAAGCACAUAUUGCCAUCAACUCUGAGGAGCCGCCAUGAAGGUUGCCACCUGUGUGGGAAUAGAGUUUAGGCAGAUCUAUCCACUCGAACGCCGCCCCCACCACCCCAAUGAUGCACCACGGCAUACAAACCCUAAUCCUACCUAGUAGGCCUGACCGAGGAACGAGAUCCCCUACCAAUAAAUCGCACAAGAAUAACGAGAAAGAAACCAACGCAAAAACAGUACCCACAAAAAUGUAUAUUCCACGCAGGAUUUCUGUAUCAACACGUUGACAAAUACCAGUCUGAUCAUAAUGCUCUAUGUACAAUUAUUUUUCGAAAAUAAUCUCGAGCAUGACCCUACCACAUGUUCUUAAUAUUAUGUAAUGAACAUCAUGGGCAAAAAUAGUAUGCACUUGAUCAUGCAAUCCUACUCAAUAAAUGUACCCUUUGGCUUACCACAUCAAGCUUUUGCGAAUGCUGGAGAGGGAGACCCGGUCAGGUGUAAGUUACAUCGAGAACGAAAAUGAGCAGAACAUCACGCCUUCUCCAAUCGGUGAAAUAAUUGGUUCAAAUUCUCAAUGUAACUUACACCCACCAUAUCUCCCUCCUCGGUAUUUUCAAAUGGACAAUUGAAGGACUCGGUACUACAAGUGUCAAGAUUUAGACAAACCAAGAACUAGAUUUUACUAGUGUUGUUGGCUGAAUAUAGGUCACUUGGAGGUAUGAGGAUAGGAACUCCCCUUAUAUAUAGAAAGAAAAUGGUUGUAACCCGAAACUUUGAGUUCAUCCUUAUCCAAUUAUUCACAUUAAGUACGAUCCAAGUUUACAUUGAUUUCUAUUUGAUUCGAUUAAAAAGCUCCAGGCAUCAAUGAGCGCUAAGAUAUGUGCAGGAACCGCGCAAAACAAGGGGCUAUGGCCCACAAGCGACCCAUGUGCUGGGAUGUGCCACCAUGCCUCAUGGGCCCCACAUUGCACCCUAGGCCUUGCCACGUUUUUACAUCCUUCUCCUUUGAAACAACCGCAACACCCAUAUGAUGGUGGGUCCGGGUCAUCCACCCGGUGCAAGUCAUUUUGUCUGGCAUUUUGCCUAUGUGAUCCUAUCAUCGUCAAGCAUUGCUACAUUUAUUGUAAGUGAUUUGGCCGUUUCAUUCCAAAGGACACAUUUGAUAUUCUUAACAAAUAUGGCAUGACAUGUGCAAACAUUGAAUACUAGAAACGUACAUUAACAUUGGUUAAGGUUCCUCCAAUGGCUUAUUUUUGAAUGAUCCAUGAUAGAUGUAAAUGAUGUAGAACAAUUCAUUUGUUGACCAUGGUAUAUUAUCAGAGACUUUACCUUUUUGAAUUUUAAGAAAAAUCAAGGAAAAGUAAGGCUAGCUAUUAGUUUUUUUUUGUGAGAAGAAACCCAAAUUAUAUUAAAAAUAAGUACUAGUACAACGCCACCCCAAAAAAUUAAGAAAUUACAAAUAGCACCACGCGGAACCAAUCUAGCCAUUCCACCAAUGUAGGAUGAGGGCGCACCGCCGCUCCUUGCCAGCGAAACCCUUGUUGUGCGCAUAGAUUAAAGAUGUUGGGAACUCAUCCUCGGUCCAGGAGGACCAGCAUGGCGGAAAUAGAUCAGAUUGGAACUACGUGACCACUUGCAUCGGCUUGUUAAACGGCGACGAUGAAAGCGCCGCCACCAACGAGAACAUACAAAUCCAAAGUCACCACACUCCUACAAAAGCUCCAUGCCCCCAUGUCGACACAAGAGCGUGUGUCAUCACAACAGCGGGGCCAGGGAAUAAAAUCAACCUCGAGUUUGGUAUCGUCGCCGCACCAGUCUCGAUUGGCUAGUCUGGUACCAGAUCUACCAACGACCGCCUCACAACAAACCACCAGAAUCGAAUCCGAAGACAAUUUAUUCCACGCCACCACCACCGUAAUCAUCAAGACAACAAUGAUGGAAGGGCGACAAGCACAUAUUGCCAUCAACUUUGAGGAGCCGCCAUGAAGGUCACCACCGGUGUGGAAAUAGAGUUUUGGCAGAUUUAUCCGCCCGAACACCGCCCCCACCACCCCAAUGACGCACCACGGCAGACAAACCCUAACCCAACCUACUAGGCCUGGCGGAGGAAUGAGAUCCCCCUAACAAUAAAUUUUACAAGAAUAACGAGAAAGAAACCAACACAAAAACAAUCCCCACAAAAAUGUAUAUUCCAUGCAGGAUUUCCGUAUCAACACUUUGAGAAAUACCAAUCUGAUCAUAAUGCUCUAAUUACAAUUAUUUUUCUAAAAGAAUGUCGAGCAUGACCCUGCCACAUGUUCUUAAUAAUAUGUCAUGAACAUCAUGAGCAAAAACAGUAUGCACUUGAUCAUGCAAUCGUAAUCACUAAAUGUACCAGUUGGCUUACCACAUCAAGCUUUUGCAAAUGCUGGAGAGGGAGACUCGGUCAGGUGUAAGUUACAUCGAAAAUGAUAAUGAGCAGAACAUCACGCCUUCUCCAAUCGGCGAAAUGAUUUGUUCAAAUUCUCAAUGUAACUUACAUGAAACACAUCUCCCUCCUCGGUAUUCUCAAAUGGACAAUUGAAUGACUCGGUACUACAAGUGUCAAGCUUUAGACACACCAAAAACUAGAUUUUACUAGUGUUGUUGGCUGAAUUUAGGUCACUUGGAGGUAUGAGGAGAGGAACUCCCGUUAUAUGUAGAAAGAAAAUGGUUGUAUCCCAAAAUUUUAAGUUCAUCCUUAUCCAAUUAUUCACAUUAAGUACGAUCCAAGUUUAAAUUGGUUCCUAUUUGAUCCGAUUAAAAAGCUCCAGGCAUCUAUGAGCGCUACGAUAUGAGCAGGAACCGCGCAAAAAAAGGGGCUAUGGCCCCACAAGGGACCCAUGUGCUGGGAUGUGCCACCAUGCCUCAGGGGCCCCACAUAGCACCCUAGGCCUUGCCACAUGUUUACAUCCUUCUCCUUGGAAACAACCGCAACACCCAUAUGAUGGUGGGUCCGGGUCAUCCACCCGGCGCAAGUCAUUUUGUCUCGCAUUUUGCCUAUGUGAUCCUAUCCUCGUCAAGCAUUGCUACAAUAUUAUUGUAAGUAAUUUGGCCGUUUCAUUCCAAAGUACACAUUUGAUAUUCUUAACAAAUAUGGCAUGACAUGUGCAAACAUUGAAUACUAGAAACGUACAUUAACAUUGGUUAAGGUUUCUCCAAUGGCUUUUUUUCGAUGAUCCAUGAUAUGUGUAAAUUGUAUAGAACAAUUCAUUUGUUGACCAUGGUAUAGUAUCAGAUCUUCUACCUUUUUCAAUUUUAAGAAAAAUCAAGGAAAAGUAAGGCUAGCUAUUAGGUUUUUAUUGUGAGAAGAAACCCAAAUUAUAUUAAAAAUAAGUACUGGUACAAUGCCACCCCAAAAAAUUAAGAAAUUACAAAUAGCACCAUGGGGAACCAAUGUAGCCAUACCACCAAUGUAGGAUGAGGGCGCACCGCCGCUCCUUACCAGCGAAACCCUUGGUUGUGCGCUUAGAUUAAAGAUGUUGGGAACUCAUCCUCGGUCCAAGAGGACCAGCAUGCCGGAAAUAGGUAAGAUUGGAACUGCGUGACCACUUGCGUCGGCUUGUUGAGCGGCGACGAUGGAAGCGUCGCCACCAAUGAGACCAUACAAAUCCGAAGUCACCAUGCCCCUACAAAAUCUCCAUGCCUCCAAGUCGACACAAGAGCGUGUGCCAUCUCAACGGCGGGGCCAGGGCAUAAAAUCCACCUCGAGUUCGGUAUCAUCGCCGCACAAGUCUCGAUUGGUUAGCCUACUACCACAUCUACCAACGACCACCUCACAACAACCAAGCGGAAUCGAAUUCGAAGCAAAUUUAUUCCAAGUCACCACCACCAUAAUCAUCAAGACAACAACGAUGGAAGGACGACAAGCAUAUAUUGCCAUCAACUAUGAGGAGUCGCCAUGAAGGUCCCCACUGGUGUGGGAAUAGAGUUUAGGCAGAUUUAUCCGCCUGAAUGCCGCCCCCACCACCCCAAUGAUGCACCACGGCAAAUAAACCCUAACCCUACCUACUAGGCCUGACGGAGGAAUGAGAUCCCCCUACCAAUAAAUCAUACAAGAAUAAUGAGAAAGAAACCAAUGCAAAAACAAUCUCAACAAAAAUGUAUAUUCCAUGCAGGAUUUCCGUAUCAACACUUUGAGAAAUACAAGUCUGCUCAUAAUGCUCUAUGUACAAUUAUUUUUCUAAAAGAAUCUCGAGCAUGACCCUGCCACAUGUUCUAAAUAUUAUGUAAUGAACAUCCUGGGCAAAAAUAGUAUGCACUUGAUCAUGCAAUCCUAAUCAAUAAAUGUACCCAUUGGCUUACCAUAUCAAGCUUUUGUGAAUGCUGGAGAGGGAGACGCGGUCAGGUGUAAGUUACAUUGAGAACGACAAUGAGCAGAGCAUCACGCCUUCUCCAAUCGGUGAAAUGAUUGGUUCAAAUUCUCAAUGUAACUUACACCCACCACAUUUCCCUCCUCGGUAUUCUCAAAUGGAUAAUUGAAGGACUCGGUACUUCAAGUGUCAAGCUUUAGACACACCAAAAACUAGAUUUUACUAGUGUUGUUGGCUGAAUACAGGUCACUUGGAGGUAUGAGGAUAGGAACUCCCCUUAUAUAUAGAACGAAAAUGGUUGUAACCCGAAACUUUGAGUUCAUACUUAUCCAAUUAUUCACAUUAAGUAUGAUCCAAGUUUACAUUGGUUCCUAUUUGAUUCGAUCAAAAAGCUCCAGGCAUCAAUGAGCGCUAAUAUAUGAGCAGGAACAGCAGAAAAGAAGCGCCUAUGGCCCCACAAGGGACCCAUAUGCUGGGAUGUGCCACCAUGCCUCAUGGGCCCCACAUUGCACCCUAUGCCUUGCCACGUGUUUACAUCAUUCUCCUUUGAAACAACCGCAACACCCAUAUGAUGGUGGGUCCGCGUCAUCCACCCGGCGCAAGUCAUUUUGUCUAGCAUUUGGCCUAUAUGAUCCUAUCCUCGUCAAGCAUUGCUACAAUAUUAUUGGAAGUGAUUUGGUUGUUUCAUUCCAAAGUACACAUUUUAUAUUCUUAACAAAUAUGGCAUGACAUGUGCAAACAUUGAAUACUAGAAACGUACAUUAACAUUGGUUAAGGUUUCUCCAAUGGCUUAUUUUCCGAUGAUCCAUGAUAGAUGUAAAUGAUAUAGAACAAUACAUUUGUUGACCACGGUAUAGUAUCAGAUCUUCUAACAUUUUGAAUUUUAUGAAAAUAUAGGAAAAGUAAUGUUAGCUAUUAGUUUUUUUGUGAGAAGAAACCCAAUUAUAUUAAAAAUAAGUAAUGGUACAACGCCACCCCAAAAAGUUAAGAAAUUACAAAUAGAACCAUGGGGAACCAAUCUAGCCAUACCACCAACGUAGGAUGAGGGUGCACCGCUGCUCCUUGCCGGUGAAACCCUUGGUUGUGCACAUAGAUUAAAGAUGUUGGGAACUCAUCCUCGUUCCAGGAGGACCAGCAUGCCGGAAAUAGGUCAGAUUGGAACUGCGUCACCACUUGCGUCGGCUUGUUGAACGACAACGAUGAAAGACCAUUGGCUUACCACAUCAAGCUUUCACAAAUGCUAGAGAGGGAGACGCGGUCAGGUGUAAGUUACAUCAAGAACGACAAUGAUCAGAACAUCACGCCUUCUCCAAUCGAUGAAAUGAUUGGUUCAAAUUCUCAAUGUAACUUACACCCACCACAUCUCCCUCCUCGGUAUUCUCAAAUGGAAAAUUGAAUGACUCGGUACUGCAAGUGUCAAGCUUUAGACACACAAAAAAACCAGAUUUUACUAGUGUUGUUGGCUGAAUAUAGGUCACUUGGAGGUAUGAGGAGAGGAACUCCCCUUAUAUGUAGAAAGAAAAUGGUUGUCAUCCGAAACUUUGAGUUCAUCCUUAUCCAAUUAUUCACAUUAAGUACGAUCCAAGUUUACAUUGGUUCCUAUUUGAUUUGAUUAAAAAGCUCCAGGCAUCAAUGAGCGCUAAGAUAUGUGCAGCAACCACGCAAAACAAGGGGCUAUGGCCCCACAAGGGACCCAUGUGCUGGGAUGUGCCACCAUGCCUCAGGGGCCCCUCAUUGCACCCUAGGCCUUGCCACGUGUUUACAUCCUUCUCCUUUGAAACAACCAAAACACCGAUAUGAGGGUGGGUCCGCGUCAUCCACCCGGUGCAAGUCAUUUUGUCUGGCAUUUUGCCUAUGUGAUCCUAUCCUCGUCAAGCGAAGCUACAAUAUUAUUGUAAGUGAUUUGGCCGUUUCAUUCCAAAGGACACAUUCGAUAUUCUUAACAAAUAUGGCAUGACAUGUGCAAACAUUGAAUACUAGAAACGUACGUUAACAUUGGUUAAGGUUUCUCCAAUGGAUUAUUUUCCGAUGAUCCUUGAUAGAUGUAAAUUGUAUAGAACAAUUCAUUUGUUUACCAUGGUAUAGUAUCAGAUCUUCUACCUUCUUAAAUUUAAGAAAAAUCAUGGAAAAGUAAGGCUAGCUAUUAGUUUUUGUUCUCAGAAGAAACCCAAGUUAUAUCAAAAAUAAGUACUGGUACAAUGCCACCUCAAAAUAUUAAGAAAUUACAAAUAGCACCAUGGGGAACCAAUCUAGCCAUACCACCAACAUAGGAUGAAGGCCCAUCGCCGCUCCUUACCGGUGAAACCCUUGGUUGUGCGCAUAGAUUAAAGAUGUUGGGAACUCAUCCUCGGUCUAGGAGGACCAGCAUGCUGGAAAUAGGUCAGAUUGGAACUGUGUGACCACUUGCGUCGGCUUGUUGUUUGGCGACGAUGAAAGCGCCGCCUCCAAUGAGAACCUACAAAUCCGAAGUCACCACGCUCCUCCAAAAGCUCCAUGCCCCCAUGUCGACACAAGAGCAUGUGUCAUCACAACGGCGGGGCCAGGGCAUAAAAUCCACCUCGAGUUCGGUAUCGUCGCCGCAGCAGUCUCGAUUGGUUAGCCUGCUACCAGAUCUACCAACCACCGCCUCACAACAACCCACCAGAAUCAAAUCCGAAGCAAAUUUAUUCCACGCCACCACCACCAUAAUCAUCAAGACAACAACGAUGGAAGGACGACAAGCACAUAUUGCCAUCAACUCUGAGGAGCCGCCAUGAAGGUCGCCACCGGUGUGGGAAUAGAGUUUAGGCAGAUUUAUCCGCCCGAACACCGCCCCCACCACCCCAGCGGCGCACCAUGGCAGACAAACCCUAACCCUACCUACUAGGCCUGACAGAGGAACGAGAUCCCCCUACCAAUAAAUCAUACAAGAAUAACAAGAAAGAAACCAACGCAAAAACAAUCCCCGUAAAAAUGUAUAUUCCACGCGGGAUUUCCGUGUCAACACUUUGAGAAAUACCAGUCUGAUCAAAAUGCUCUAUGUACAAUUAGUUUUCUAAAAGAAUCUCGAGCAUGACCCUGCCACAUGUUCUUAAUAUUAUGUAAUGAACAUCAUGGGCAAAAAUAGUAUGCACUUGAUCAUGCAAUCCUAAUCAAUAAAUGUACCCGUUGGCUUACCACAUCAAGCUUUUGCGAAUGCUGGAGAGGGAGAAGCGGUCAGGUGUAAGUUACAUCGAGAACGACAAU
rnacentral:lncRNA from 1 species